ensembl:ncRNA asRNA:CR45813 antisense RNA:CR45813
AGUACUCUCGAUAGGAGCGGGAUGAUGAGCAAGUGAAGCGCUGGCGGGGAAGGCAGCAGGGUGGGCGGCCAACCCAGCGCAGAACUAGUUCCGAGUAUGCAGCGCCACUUUACGUAAACAAGUGCAGACGGAACACGUGAGCCGGACACGAUGACCCAUUCCCCCCGAGAGCUGGGCGCCAAUCCUCUCGUGCUCCAUGGCACACCCAGCAAAAGCAGCACGCAGGAAGUUACAGUUGGGAUUAGUUAAGUCAUAUGUACAUAUUAUUUCAGCUACCGGGAAUUUUCAAUGACGAAUUUCCCGAAGGUCGUUCUAAAUCAGUUUUUGUGCCAAAAAAAAAAAACGAUGCUGCGUGCGAAAUAAUUAAACAAGAUCGUCAUAUGUGCACAUAUGUACAUAAUUAGCAUUGCGUAUUUUGGGGCAUUUGCUUGGAACUACAUAAUUGUUCAUAAU